UACGAAGAGUGCAAACGUUGCUCGGAAUUACUGGGCGUAAAGCGCACGUAGGCGGCUUUCUAAGUCGGAGGUGAAAUCCUGGAGCUCAACUCCAGAACUGCCUUCGAUACUGGAGAGCUCGAGUCCGGGAGAGGUGAGUGGAACUGCGAGUGUAGAGGUGAAAUUCGUAGAUAUUCGCAAGAACACCAGUGGCGAAGGCGGCUCACUGGCCCGGUACUGACGCUGAGGUGCGAAAGCGUGGGGAGCAAACAGG
rnacentral:rRNA from 1 species